rnacentral:rRNA from 1 species
UACGAAGGGGGCGAGCGUUGUUCGGAAUUACUGGGCGUAAAGGGCGCGUAGGCGGUCCUUCAAGUCAGGCGUGAAAGCCCCGGGCUCAACCUGGGAACCGCGCUUGAGACUGGCGGACUCGAGUUCGGGAGAGGAUGGUGGAAUUCCCAGUGUAGAGGUGAAAUUCGUAGAUAUUGGGAAGAACACCGAUGGCGAAGGCGGUCUGCUGGGCCGUUGCUGACGCUGAGGCGCGACAGCGUGGGGAGCAAACAGG